AUAUUGCAUUCAUGCAUCUCAUCAUGUCACUUUUGGUUCUUAUAAAAUUGCAUUUGGUUUUAUUUUGCUUUUCAUUUUGACGUGUUGGUUUCUCUCUACUUGUUUUACCUCUAUCUCACUUGAGAUGUUCCAAUCUAAAGCCUACCUAUCCUACUCCUACACUUGACCACUUUUUAAAAAGGUCAUGCCAAAACUUCUAGUAAAUAUGGGUUAAUAUUAUACCCUCUCCUUAAUCUCUUAUUUUGUAAUUAUUCAACAUAAUAAUCAACUUUUUGGUUUACUAAAAUACUUUGCUUGGAUUAAUCCAAACCAACAGUGAAUUAAAAUUAUUUACAAAUCUUCCUCUUAUCCUAAUUCAAAAUGGUUUUGGUUUUGGUUGAGUAAAAACCAGAAAAAGAAUUUGAAAUAAAAUGGAAAAGAGAGCAGCCUAGUCUAUCCUAUUUCUGCCUGGACGCCCAACCUGCUGGACAAGCUAGCUCCAAACUUCUUUCUGUCACUUUCGUCAACGCCGUGAGCGCCUGCGUGUUUUCCUUCACGGUCACCUGCUCCUGUUUCCCCUCUCCUCAAAUCAAGCCACCAAAUCAGGGCAGAACCCUAGGCUCCCUUUUCUCUUGUGCCGCCGCUGCCUCCUCUGCUCCACCAAGCACCCAGCCAGAACCACAUCCGAGAGCCACCAAAGUUUCGCCGGAGAAGACCAAGACCGCGUCGUCAAACCAAACCGCUGCGUCGCCGUCCGAGCACGGGGAUGGAGCCGCCGUGGCGCCCUCUUCCUCCUCGCUGAACCGGAGCCGGAGCUGCUCGUAUAUGCCGCCGCCGCCAAGACGUACUGGUGCGCCGCCGUGCACGCCGACGACCUCCGCUUCGCCCCGUCAUCGUCUCCAUCCUCCCGAACCUCUCCCUGAACGUGCUCGCCGUGUGUGCUGCUAGAGCCUCAACAGCGUCACUUGGUCGGGCUUCGUCUGGCUUCUUCAAAGGCUGAGCCCCUAUCUUCACUCAUCAAUUGAUCUAGCGGCUUGCCUGUUACAUCUACACCAAAGACGCCGGUACCGAGGAGUACGGCGAGGAGUACGACUACUACCCUGAGGAGGAUCGUGCCGGUUUCUCUUCUUCUGACUUGACAGGCG